AUCUCGGUGGUGUAGUGGCAGAGCACGCGUCCACGAAAAGGAUGAAAUGCGGGUUCGAAUCUCGCCUGAGGCC